rnacentral:rRNA from 1 species
AUGUCCCCAGCCAGCUUGUCGCUGCUUGGGUAUCUCAGCCAAGUGAUCAGGCUGGUCCCGGGGUCCAAAGUUCACCGCACCGGCGAAGACCCGUACGGUGAGGUCAAGAUCUGCCCAACCAGUCAAGGAUGGCGUGAGGUGAGCAGUCAACUCACGCACAUGGCAAGAACCCCGUCGGGUAUGAAUUAUUCCGUUCACUCCAUCCCGGCCGGCACCACAGAUCCCCUUCCCUGCUCGCCCAGAACAUGUGGCAACCUGAGCAUAGCCUACCCAUUCUGGCUGGAGGAGGACGGCCAGCCGCCAUGCGGUGCCCCGUCCUUCCAGCUCAACUGCAACGCCAGCCAAGCUCUCCUCAGCCGCUCCAUGUUCGGGAGCUACCAAGUCGUCCAAGUCUUCGCCGAGAACUCCUCCUUCGUCGCCGUGGACAACAACCUCCCGCUCGACGACGGCUGCCCCAAGUUUUGGUUCAACAUCUCGCUAGGUCUCGGGCUGAGUCCGUUCGUCGUCAGCAGCAAGAACAUGGAGCUGCUCUCCUUCUACCGACUUGGCGGCGAGUAUGGCAGCCACCGCAAACUGGCCGGUCUCCCGCCGGCCUGCCGUCUCUCGGUCGUGCCGGUUCUUGGUGUUCCGGACGGCGACAGUUACGUCUCGAGCAUGAGACAGGGGUUCCUGCUUGAGUGGACGGUACCGUCAGACGUGUGCCCCAAGUGCGAGGCAAGCGGCGGGCAGUGCAGGUAUGCCAACGACGGCACCGGGUUUUCCUGCAGCUGCGACGACGGCCUGCGCCCCGACAAGUGCGGUGAGUCCAGAAAAUUAGCUAGCUCUGCUCUCCAUUUAUAUCUGUAA